rnacentral:rRNA from 1 species
CCUACGUGAGGCAGCAGUGAGGAAUAUUGGUCAAUGGCCGGAAGGCUGAACCAGCCAUGCCGCGUGAAGGUCAGUGCCCUAUGGGCGUUAAACUUCUUUUGUGCGGGAGCAAUAAUGGUCACGUGUGGCCAGACGAGAGUACCGUACGAAUAAGCAUCGGCUAACCCCGUGCCAGCCGCCGCGGUAAUACGGGGGAUGCAAGCGUUAUCCGGAUUUAUUGGGUUUAAAGGGUGCGUAGGCUGUGAGGUAAGUCAGCGGUGAAAUGCCCCCGCUCAACGGGGUGAAGUGCCAUUGAAACUGCCUUGCUGGAAUGCGGAUGCCGUAGGAGGAAUGUGUGGUGUAGCGGUGAAAUGCAUAGAUAUCACACAGAACACCGAUUGCGAAGGCAUCUCACGAAUCCGCGAUUGACGCUGAUGCACGAAAGCGUGGGUAUCAAACAGGAUUAGAUACCCUGGUAGUC